GCCUCCGUAGCUCAGUUGGAUAGAGCAGUUCACUUCUAAUGAUCUGGUCGCAGGUUCGAUUCCUGCCGGGGGCG
rnacentral:tRNA from 1 species